rnacentral:lncRNA from 1 species
GUCGACAUCGUUCGACAUAGGCAACAACACGACGAUCGAUGUAACACGUACCUAUCGAUCGAUAUCUAAUCCGAUCAAAUGUAUCUUCCCUACUUGUUACAUUUCGUACAUCAUAAACUAUUCACCAUAACUCCGGCUGAGUUACACUGGGACAGUGUAAUUUAAGUCUGGGGGGGGGGAGAUUUACUGAUAUAAUUUAUUUUAUUCUUAUGUAAAAAGGAAUUUCAAAUAAUUUAUGCUUAGCUAUUGAAAAUAGGGACUAUAAUCCUAUAUUGAUUUAAACAUGAAUAUCUAACCAAUCUUUAGCACCAUUUUAGAUUUACUGAUUGCAUAUAGCACUAAAGAUGCUAAAGCGGAUCAACCUAUCAACUACACACUUACCUUGAACCGUAUGAAGUAACCAAAGCUGAUUUCCAACACUAAACCUGACAUAACCGCUUGUCUUGGGGCUUGCUAUACAUGGGAUCAGAUUCUUCAGAUUGGUCUGGAAGGUAACACCUGGUUUAGAUUAUUUAUCACAUUUUCUCUCUCUAAAUUUCGACCCUAGAUUAGUUAGUGAGUAUCUAAAAAAUAAAAAAUAAAUAAAUAAAAAUAAAUAAAAAAAUAAAUAAAAAAAUAAAAUAAAAAAAUAAAAAAAUAUAAAUAAGAUUUAUUGUUUAAUUAGGAUGAGUCUGAACAGGACUUGGUGGCUAAAAUCAUUAAGGCUUGAUUCAUAAAGACUCAAAUAAAGAGUUCGAAACGGGACUUGGAGGCGGCAAUCUUCAUAUCUCGCUUUCGCAAAGAACUCUUGGAUAUAGGUCAAAAAGAAGUGAACAGAACUUGGUGGCAACCACCAUUAAAUUUUGAUUCAUGGAAGCCUGUCCAAUCUUGGUCACUGAUCCUGCAAUGGAAGCAGACUUUAACUCAAGAGAGAAAUUUAGAGAGAGAGAAACUAGGAACUAACUUUUACCUGUAGCUCCAGAUACCUGUCUGAAAUCCUUGCAUCAUGUGAUCGAUACUCCCAAGGUAAAGCAUUCACUUUAUAUUUAUGCUAAGAAAUGAAAUCAGUAGAGGGGAUGUCAGACGUGAAUUGAUGAGUUGUGUUAAGUU